CUCAUGUUGAAUUACAGGAGGUUGGUUCACAACUGCAUUACAGAUUUUUUAAAAAUGUAACAGAAAAACGAACAUACCACAUUCCUUGUGCCAAACCGACUUUCAAUGUAGUAAUUACUGAUGCAACUGAGUUGAUCAACGGUAUUUAGAAUCUAAACACGAGUAUGGGACGAAAACAAAAAAUAAAUAGGAACCAAGUCAACUUCCAGAGCUUUCAUUAAAAAUUCCACAAUGUACAACCUAAAGCAACUAUGAUUAACACUCAGCAAACAACAAAUAACAAACGAGAUUUUAAAAUGUUUGACUCCAAGACGUGCUAAUACAAAGGAAAUGUCUUAAACACAGGCUUCGAAUAAUGAACUAUCUUAACAAAAUUUAUGGAAGAAAGUUUGAACUGUGCUAAUAAACCGUUUUAGAAA